AGUGCCAAAAGGAAUCUACUUCUCUUGCAUCUAUGUCUUCACUCUUAACAAUCUCUUAAUUUAUCCUCUUCAUUUCCACAGUCAAUGGCUUCACAUGACCAUCAUCAUCCUGAUCAUCACCAUCACGAUCAUACCCAUCAUGAUGGAGAUUCAGCUACGCAAUCAUGGGUAGGUCCAGAUGGGAGGGUGUACCAUAGCCACGACGGACUUGCACCACACUCACAUGAACCCAUUUACUCUCCUGGUUUCUUCAGGAGAAGAGCUCCUCCUCUUCUAUCCAGAGACUUCAAUGAGAGAGCCUUCACUGUUGGUAUUGGUGGUCCUGUUGGUACUGGGUGACAAAUGAUAUAUUCACAAAAGAGGAUGGUGAGUUCCUGAUGAAGAAUGGUUCUCUGCCCGAGGAAAGGAUACAUGCUGUGGAAACGGGACGCUGUCCACAUGCUGCAAUUCGCGAAGAUAUAAGCAUAAACCUUGGCCCUCUUGAGGAACUUACUAACUUUUUCAAAGCCGACAUACUUCUUUGUUAAUCCGGGGGAGAUAAUUUAGCUGCCAACUUUAGCAGGGAGCUGGCUGACUAUAUCAUUUAUAUAAUUGAUGUAUCUGGUGGUGAUAAAAUUCCUUGGAAAGGUGGCCCAGGCAUCAACCAAGCUGAUCUUCUAGUGACCUGCACCAGCAGUCGGAGCUGACUUAGCAGUAAUGGAGUGUGACGCACUCAAGAUGCGUGAGGGAGGGCCUUUUGUCUUUGCUCAGGUAGGUUGAGGCAGUAUUUGCAUUUGCUUGAUUUAAGCAUGAAGGAACCUGGUGUAUUCUGACUUGUGGAAGUUACUCGAUUACUAAAAAUGAAGUUAUUAUAUAAUAUCAUUUUGGUUUAUACUUAAAUCGUAUUUCAGUGUAACCUCCUGGCAUUGUUUCAUCUUGAAAUCUGUAAACCAGCAUGUAGCAAUAAAUGUCCCCUCUCAUGGCUUUCUUUCUGAAUAUGCAGAUAUGAAUCGUUUAAUUAAUGAGUAGUAUCAUCCCAGAACCCAAUUGAGUUUA